GAUGAACGCUGGCGGCGUGCCUAAUACAUGCAAGUCGAGCGAACAGAUGAGGAGCUUGCUCCUCUGACGUUAGCGGCGGACGGGUGAGUAACACGUGGAUAACCUACCUAUAAGACUGGGAUAACUUCGGGAAACCGGAGCUAAUACCGGAUAAUAUAUUGAACCGCAUGGUUCAAUAGUGAAAGACGGUUUUGCUGUCACUUAUAGAUGGAUCCGCGCCGCAUUAGCUAGUCGGUAAGGUAACGGCUUACCAAGGCAACGAUGCGUAGCCGACCUGAGAGGGUGAUCGGCCACACUGGAACUGAGACACGGUCCAGACUCCUACGGGAGGCAGCAGUAGGGAAUCUUCCGCAAAGGGCGAAAGCCUGACGGAGCAACGCCGCGUGAGUGAUGAAGGUCUUCGGAUCGUAAAACUCUGUUAUUAGGGAAGAACAAAUGUGUAAGUAACUAUGCACGUCUUGACGGUACCUAAUCAGAAAGCCACGGCUAACUACGUG
rnacentral:rRNA from 1 species